rnacentral:lncRNA from 1 species
AGGCCAUCUUUGAUUUUUUAGGACUAAGCCAAUCAAAGACCAUCUUUUGGGUCUUCGAUGACUAAGCCUAUCAAAGGUCGUCUUUUAUUUCUCAAGACUGAGCUGAUCAAAGAUAUUUUUUUGGGUCUUCAGUGACUAAGCCGAUCAAAGGCCAUCUUUUGUUUUCCAGAACUGAGCCGAUCAAAGACCAUCUUUUAGGUCUUCAGUGAUUAAGCCGAUCAAAGACCAUC